UGGCUUAGAGGUUAAAGCGCCUGCCUCCAAUGCAGGAGACCCAGGUUCGAUCCCUGG
rnacentral:tRNA from 1 species